AUGUAGUUAUGCGUGGCUUGAGUUGUUUUCUGUGUGUUUGAGUUUGCGUUUGGCAGUAUGUUUGUGUUCUAUUUAUUUUAUGUGUGUUUAAAUAGCUUUGAUAAUGUUGCGUCUUAGAUUCUGCUUUUGGAUGGUGACAAGAUACAAAAACAGAAAUAGUUGGCAGGCUCAACCUGCUGAUCAAGCCAGAGGACUGGCUUAUCCAGUUUG
rnacentral:lncRNA from 1 species